rnacentral:rRNA from 1 species
UACGUAGGGUGCAAGCGUUGUCCGGAAUUAUUGGGCGUAAAGAGCUCGUAGGCGGUUUGUCGCGUCUGCUGUGAAAACCCGAGGCUCAACCUCGGGCCUGCAGUGGGUACGGGCAGACUAGAGUGCGGUAGGGGAGAUUGGAAUUCCUGGUGUAGCGGUGGAAUGCGCAGAUAUCUGAAGGAACAUCAGUGGCGAAAGCGGGUCUCUGGGCCGAUACUGACGCUGAGGAGCGAAAGCGUGGGGAGCGAACAGG